rnacentral:rRNA from 1 species
GAGUUUGAUCCUGGCUCAGGAUGAACGCUGGCGGCGUGCUUAACACAUGCAAGUCGAACGAGCCUUCGGGCUAGUGGCGGACGGGUGAGUAACGCGUGGGAAUCUGCCCUCAGGAGGGGGAUAACGGCCGGAAACGGCCGCUAAUACCCCAUAUGCCGAGAGGUGAAACGAAAUUCGCCUGAGGAUGAGCCCGCGUCUGAUUAGCUAGUUGGUGUGGUAAUGGCUCACCAAGGCUUCGAUCAGUAGCUGGUCUGAGAGGAUGAUCAGCCACACUGGGACUGAGACACGGCCCAGACUCCUACGGGAGGCAGCAGUGGGGAAUUUUCCGCAAUGGGCGAAAGCCUGACGGAGCAACGCCGCGUGAGGGAUGAAGGCCUCUGGGCUGUAAACCUCUUUUAUCAAGGAAGAAGAUCUGACGGUACUUGAUGAAUAAGCCACGGCUAAUUCCGUGCCAGCAGCCGCGGUAAUACGGGAGUGGCAAGCGUUAUCCGGAAUUAUUGGGCGUAAAGCGUCCGCAGGCGGUCUGUCAAGUCUGCUGUUAAAGCGUGGAGCUUAACUCCAUUUCGGCAGUGGAAACUGACAGACUAGAGUGUGGUAGGGGCAGAGGGAAUUCCCGGUGUAGCGGUGAAAU